GCGAUACGGCUCUAAACGGCAUACCUUAGGGUAUGGAGUUGUAUUGCAAUGUUGUGUUUGUGAGCUCAUCUUGAGCACGGUAGUUUCUACCAAAGGCUUACGGCUUCUCGUAAGUACCAUUCCAAUUUAAUGAACUUGUCUGUCAUUUUACACCGCUCAUUUGAGCGGUGUUUUUUAU
rfam:Vibrio sp. JCM 19231 DNA, contig00018.